CCGUCCGCUGGAUGACCAAGGGUUCCAGGGCCACGUUCAUCGUCCCUGGGUGAGUCGGGUCCUAAGGCGAGGCCGACAGGCGUAGUCGAAUGGAUGAACGGGUCGAUAUUCCCGUACCGGCUUUCAGCCGCCAAAACCGAGGCUUGGAGUACUAACCUCCGGGUCCGGGCCUACUGCUCCUUCGGGGGCGGGAUGCCCUGGCCUGUUGGGACCGAUCCUUGUAGUAGGUCAGCGCAGGAGUGACGCAGAAGGGUAGCCGGCCGCGGAGGUGGUCUUCCGUGGUCAAGCACGCAGGGCGUGGGACAGGCAAAUCCGUCCCGCAUGGGUCCGAGGUGCGAUGAUGGGGGCCUUAUGGCCCGAUAUCCGGUGAUCCCGGCUGCCGAGAAAAGCUUCGGCGUCAGGCUCAAAGCCGCCCGUACCCCAAACCGACACUGGUGGUCAGUAGAGAAUACCAAAGCGAUCGUGCGAAUCCUGGUCAAGGAACUCGGCAAAUCACUCCCGUUCCUUCGGUUUAAGGGAGACCCCCGAUGGUGAACACACUUGCUGUGGGAGCUUUUGGGGGUGGCACAGACCAGGGGGUAGCGACUGUUUACCAAAAACACAGGUGCAUGCGAAGGCGCAAGCCGCUGUAUAUGCACUGACGCCUGCCCGGUGCCGGAAGGUUAAGAGGAUCCGUCAGCCUUCGGGUGAAGCGGUGAAUUCAAGCCCCGGUAAACGGCGGUGGUAACAAUAACCAUCCUAAGGUAGCGAAAUUCCUUGUCGGGUAAGUUCCGACCUGCACGAAUGGCGUAACGACUUCCCCACUGUCUCGACCAGGAGCUCGACGAAAUUGCAGUACGAGUAAAGAUGCUCGUUAAGCGCAGAAGGACGAAAAGACCCCGGGACCUUUACUAUACCUUGGUAUUGGCAUUCGGUGUGGAUUGUGUAGCAUAGGCGGGAGGCCGAGAGGCGCGGUCGCCAGAUCGCGCGGAGCCGUAAGGUGAAAUACCGCUCUGUUCGCAUUGGAUGUCUAACCUCGAACAGUCAUCCUGUUCGGGGACAGUGCCUGGCGGGUAGUUUAACUGGGCGGUUGCCUCCCAAAGAGUAACGGAGGCGCCCAAAGGUCCGCUCAGCCCGGUUGGCAAUCGGGUGGCGAGUGCAAGUGCACAAGCGGGCUUGACUGCGAGGACGACGGUCCGAGCAGGGACGAAAGACGGGACUAGUGAUCCGGUGCCGGUGUACGGACGCGGCAUCGCUCAACGGAUAAAAGGUACCCCGGGGAUAACAGGCUGAUCAUUCCCAAGAGUCCAUAUCGACGGGAUGGUUUGGCACCUCGAUGUCGGCUCGUCGCAUCCUGGGGCUGGAGCAGGUCCCAAGGGUUCGGCUGUUCGCCGAUUAAAGCGGCACGCGAGCCGGGUUCAGAACGUCGUGAGACAGUUUGGUCUCUAUCCUCUGCGCUCGUUGGAAUGCUGAGGAGGCCUGCCCAUAGUACGAGAGGACCUGGGUGGACGAACCUCUGGUAUGCCGGUUGUCACGCCAGUGGCACGGCCGGUUGGCUACGUUCGGAAGGGAUAACCGCUGAAAGCAUCUAAGCGGGAAGCCGCUCCAAGAUAAGCAUUCCGUGGAACCUUCGAGUUCCUGUAGUCCCCAUGCAGAACACGUGGUCGAUAGGCCGGACGUGGAAGCCCCGCGAGGGGUGGAGCCGACCGGUACUAACGGACGAAAGGCAACU
rnacentral:rRNA from 1 species